ensembl:lncRNA
CUUAUAACUGGCUUUCUUCAUGGUUCUCUAAAAAUUAAGGCUUUCCUUGCGAGACGAGAAUCUUCACCAUCUGAAUCAUGAGAGGCUGGCGAACACUUUGGGAAUAUUCUGCCAAGGUGAAUCAACAAGCGAGCGGAGCUUUGAGAGUUCGGAGGCACAUCACAGGUCGCUCCGACCUAAUUCAACGUGCUGACGUGCUGCACCGGGAUUGGAGAGGAGAAGAUUGUGCGUUGUUUAAAAAGGCGAAAGACCGAUGUGGCGAAAGGAAUGUGGAUGUGUGGUUUAUCUGUGAUUGUGUGCAUACUAUUGAGUAGCGAAUAUUUUUCCCGGUGUUUGAGUGAGAUUGCUUGCUUGUUGUAUUGUGUGUGAGUGAAAGAAGUGAGUGGUAUAAUCUCGUGUUGUCCCAUUCUACCGUUUUGUUUUGUGUUUUGGCUGAGUGUACGCGUCUAUUGUAAAUAUCUUUCAUUGUAAAUAUUUCUUUUCUACUAAUCACGACAG